GAAGGUAUGGCUCAGUGACAGAGCACAUGCUUAGCAUGUAUGAAGUCCUGAGUUCAAUCCCCAGUACCUUCC
rnacentral:tRNA from 1 species